UCAACACAACAGAAACCAUGACAACCAUGACUCUGAUCACCAUCUUCAUCUGGACACUGGUCUGCUGCUGCCUCAAAGGAUCCAGAGGUCAGGUGACUGUGACUCAGCCUCCUGUAGUGACAUUUUCUCCAGGAGACCCCGUCACUCUGACCUGUACAACCAACCCUGAAGUGUACACAGACAGUGAUGGAGAUGAAUUUAUUGUUCUGAUAUCAACAGAGACCUGGGGAAGCUCCCAAACUCCUGAUAAAACACCUAAAGACACGGCUAGAUGGGAUUCCUGCUAGAUUCAGUGGCAGUGGGUCUGAGAGGGACUUCACUCUGACCAUCAGUGGAGUCCAGGCUGAAGAUGCAGCAGUUUACUACUGUCAGAGUCGUCACAGUGGAGGUGUGAUCACAAGUGAUUUAGAGACGUACAAAAACCUCCUGUACAAAACGACACACAUCACUGGUCCACUGAACACAGAACUACGGGUCUUGUUAUAUGACAUCACCAAGUAUAACCACUUUACUAACUCACAGAAAUAAUGGUUACAUAAAACCGGUUGAAAGUUUCUGUCGGCUGAAUGAGUGA